rnacentral:rRNA from 1 species
UACGUAGGGUGCAAGCGUUGUCCGGAAUUAUUGGGCGUAAAGAGCUCGUAGGCGGUCUGUCGCGUCGGGAGUGAAAUCCACUGGCUUAACUGGUGGCUUGCUUUCGAUACGGGCAGACUGGAGGUAUGCAGGGGAGAACGGAAUUCCUGGUGUAGCGGUGAAAUGCGCAGAUAUCAGGAGGAACACCGGUGGCGAAGGCGGUUCUCUGGGCAUGUCCUGACGCUGAGGAGCGAAAGUGUGGGGAGCGAACAGG